CAGUGAUAAACUGGAGGAAGGUGGGGAUGACGUCAAGUCAUCAUGGCCCUUACGACCAGGGCUACACACGUGCUACAAUGGCGCAUACAAAGAGAAGCGACCUCGCGAGAGCAAGCGGACCUCAUAAAGUGCGUCGUAGUCCGGAUUGGAGUCUGCAACUCGACUCCAUGAAGUCGGAAUCGCUAGUAAUCGUGGAUCAGAAUGCCACGGUGAAUACGUUCCCGGGCCUUGUACACACCGCCCGUCACACCAUGGGAGUGGGUUGCAAAAGAAGUAGGUAGCUUAACCUUCGGGAGGGCGCUUACCA
rnacentral:rRNA from 1 species